AAAGUACUUCAUACGUACGAUGGUCUAAAUGAUCGUGAUCCUGAUCCUGAUCCUGAUCUUGACCAUGAUCAUGAUCAUGAUCAUGGCAUGGUGAUGAUACUAAUCAAAGUUGUAGUUGUGGGAGAUAGCUGUUCAUGGGCAAAUGGUAUUUGGGUUGCACAAAAAGAAAAUCAAAAGGGUGAGAGGUGGCUGUGUUUGAAAAAGUUGAGGAGAGAAUUAGAAAGAGAGUUAUGGCUUCUGAGAAAUUGACAAUAUGGGUCCCCAUGAGAACCUCGUUGUUCUGUCUUCAUUCAGCUAAUCGCAAAUUCAUGUAGUUUAGAGUAUUGACUAGUGGAUUUAUUAUUAAAAUUAAAUCUUCGGUCAUUCAGUAAUCAUAUCAUAAAACUUCUUUUGUAUCGUUAGUGGGAACGACAAUUCUUCCCUGCUCCGAAUUUUAGUUGGUUUAUAGACAUGGUGUAGAGUGUCUAUCACAAAACCAUUGAAGAUUCUAUUUUGUAUUGAAA
rnacentral:lncRNA from 1 species